rnacentral:rRNA from 1 species
AUUGAACGCUGGCGGCAGGCCUAACACAUGCACGUCCAGCGGAGCGGCGGACGGGUGAGUAAUGACUAGGAAUCUUCCUGGUAGUGGGGGAUAACGUCCGGAUACGGGCGCUAAUACCGCAUACCCUCAGCUGCGCCUAGUUCGGAUUAGCUAGUUGGUGGGGUAAAGGCCUACCAAGGCGACGAUCCGUAAAUGUUCUGAGAGUAGGAUCAGUCACACGGGAACUGCGACACGGUCCAGCCUCCUACGGGGGGCAGCAGUGGGAAAUAUUGGACAAGGGGCGAAAGCCUGAUCCAGCCAUGCGGCGUGUGUGAAGAGGGUGUUCGGAUUGUAAAGUACUUUAAGUUGGGAGGCGUUACCAACAGAAUAAGCACCGGCUAACUUCGUGCCAGCAGCCGAGGUAAUUC